GAAGCGGAUUGAUAAAGCUUCGGAUAACACCAGAGAGAGAUAUAAUUUAAGAAGAAGAGAUGUUCAUUUUAAGGAAAAUGAUUUAGUUUGGAAAAAGAACUAUGUUCUGUCUGAUAAAGCUAAUUAUUUUACAUCUAAGUUUGCUGAUAGAUUUGUUGGACCUUUUAGAGUAAAGCGUAAGGUUGGUUAUUGUACAUAUGAAUUAAUAAAUGAUAAUGGUAAGUCUAUUGGUCACUGGCAUGUGAAAGACUUGAAACCUCACCCACAGAACUCUGAUAGCCACGUUGAAUCGGAUUCUGAUGUAGAUAGUGUAACAUAGUAUGUAUUUUUAACAAGUUUCUUUGGGAUUCAAUUCAAAGAAACUUAAUUUUCUUUCCGGAAGGAAAGGUGGAGUUAUUACGGUUGAAAAUUUAGUAGUAACGUUUGUUGAGUUUUGGUUGUUUAUAACCGAUUAUUUUGUCCUUGGAGGAUGUAUAAUUUGUAUGUUUGGAUGUAUAUGCUUUUUGUGUGAGUCAGUGAGAGAAGAUUUUUGUUGUAGAGUUUUUUGUUUUGAACGCCUUGUUAGCAAAUCAACAACGUUCAUUCUUUUCAAUAAACAUUUUUGAGAAAGCACUUGAAGCCUGGUCGGCGAUUUGGAUUCCCAGUUUUUUUAAUUGAAAUGGUACUUUUUCAAUCCUUUGGUGGGAUGUACUGGGAAUUCUCUUAUUGAGGUAUCCGUUGGUGUGCUGGAAAUUUGGGGCACGUAAAGAUUUGUCUUGGAAAAUCCUCUAGAGAUUAAUUCGAUGUUUAUUGAUGGCCAGGCUGAGAGUCGUGUAAUAGACCCUUUUGUAUGUUAAAGGGUGUUCCGGUAUUCAGUAAUUGUAUGUAUUUAUCGAUCCUGAGGCUUUAAAGAAGUAAUAGAAGUACAUUUAUUUACCAGAUUUACAUUUAUUCAGUAUAUUGGAAAUAAUACAUUUGGCAGAUUUAUUUAGAAGUUCGAUAUUUGACGUUUAACCUUUUGACAUUUUGACAAAAUUUAAGGAAGAUUGCAGUGUGUUUAUCCAGGCAAAUGAUUUUUUUAUUGAAGAAAAUAAGGACGGUAAUAGAUUUUAUUUUAUUUUAUGGGAGAAAACAAGAAAGAACAAGGUACAAUUAAGAUUGGGUUAAGGGGUCUAAAAAGGGGACUAAAAUACAAUGAUUUUUAUAUUUAUGUGAAGGAAACAGCUGGUUCUGGUUUAUUUUUUUUUAAUUAAUUACUUACUUUUGUUCUUAUAAACUAUUGAAAUCAAAAUUAAUAUUUGUAUGUAAAAAGGGACUUAAAAUUUUGUUGACAUUAUAUUCUCUAUAGUUA